UUUUUAUUUUUCCUGAAGGAAAUUUAUUUGAUAUGUUGAAUUGAUGAACGUUAAUUAAAAUUAACUUAAUAAACAACAGAAAUUUUUUUAAAAUCCAGAUUUUAAAAAAAAUUCAUUUGUAACAAAACAUCAUCAUUAGCAUUGUUGUUGCAUCAUAUAAAUAUUUUUAGUUCAGAAUGUGCUAUUUUUAUGUUUGGGUUUUGAACAUUUGAACAACAUAUAUACAUUUUAUUUCUUGGCAGAUAUAGUUUUGAUCAAAGCAAUUAAGUGUAAACGUAAAAAAAAAAAGAAACU